rnacentral:rRNA from 1 species
CCUACGGGCGGCAGCAGUGAGGAAUAUUGGUCAAUGGACGCAAGUCUGAACCAGCCAUGCCGCGUGCAGGAAGACGGCUCUAUGAGUUGUAAACUGCUUUUGUACGAGGGUAAACUCAGAUACGCGUAUCUGUCUGAAAGUAUCGUACGAAUAAGGAUCGGCUAACUCCGUGCCAGCAGCCGCGGUAAUCCGGAGCAUUCAAGCGUUAUCCGGGUUUAUUGGGUUUAAAGGGUGCGUCGGCGGUCGGAUAAGUUAGCGGUGAAAUCCCGAGGCUCAACUUCGGAAUUGCCUCUGAUACUGUUAGGCUAGAGAGUAGUUGCGGUAGGCGGAAUGUAUGGUGUAGCGGUGAAAUGCUUAGAGAUCAUACAGAACACCGAUUGCGAAGGCAGCUUACCAAGCUACUUCUGACGUUGAGGCACGAAAGCGUGGGGAGCAAACAGGAUUAGAUACCCCUGUAGUC